rnacentral:lncRNA from 1 species
CCGGCCUGGGACAAGCAGCAGGAUUUAUUUGGUAUGAAGUGGUUACCAUAGAAGAGAGAUUUGCAAGUUGUUGAAGACUAGAUUUUUACAACAGCGGAAUUUUGGAUGUUGGGCAUUAUUGUUCUUGGAGAGGUCAUAGUUAUCAAUUAUCAGUUGUGCUUGGAUGAUUAAUAGAGUUCAGAGAAGAAAUUCAGAAAACAGAAUGAGCACAGGAACCCAGGAGUGAUGGAUCCCACAUGACCCACCACUUGGGAAACCAGGAUCCUAACUUCCCAAAAUAAGACUUUCUGGCAAGAUUGCAUGCAGAGUCACUCUGUGCCUCAUGGGACACAGCCCCCAUUGGACAAUGUGAAAGAUGCCUUCGAGAGUUCAAGGAUACUUUUGAUGCUUCCCUUUGAGCUGAAACUGCCAACCAGACUAGGUUGUGAACAGAUGACCAUGCUAAAUGAGCAACAAAUCAUGCAGACCACAGAUGCAGUUUUCUCUGGUAUAUGAGAGCAGACUCCUCUUCAAAAUAGGUUCGGAGUUUUCUGUUAAUGUCUCUUUACACACACACACACCAUCCUCCAGGGGAGAUG